UACAGAGGUGGCAAGCGUUGUUCGGAAUUACUGGGCGUAAAGGGCGCGUAGGCGGUUCGUUAAGUCCUGUGUGAAAUCCCCCGGCUCAACUGGGGAACUGCACAGGAAACUAGCGGGCUUGAGUUCGGGAGAGGGAAGCGGAAUUCCCGGUGUAGCGGUGAAAUGCGCAGAUAUCGGGAGGAACACCGGUGGCGAAGGCGGUUCUCUGGGCCUUACCUGACGCUGAGGCGCGAAAGCUAGGGGAGCAAACGGG
rnacentral:rRNA from 1 species